GGGGGUGAAUUGGUUUCGACGGGGAUAGUUGAUGCAGGGGUUGCAUGCCGAGGUUCCAUCGGCCUCGUUAAACUGAUGGAAAAAAAUUAAAUGCCAAUACUGAAUUGGCUCUAGCUGCGUAAUUUUACCAGCUACGUCUUCCAUAUUCAUGCCUGUGGGAUAUGGCGGGCGACGCUUAACAGGCUAGCUGAUCGUCUUGGCUCGGAGGACGAAAGGCGAAGCAAUAUCCGAGAUAGUGCUUUGCAAAUCCUGCCUGCGGGAGUUGCAAGGGGCGAUAGCACAAAUCACAGGAAAAGCAUGUAGUAGCCUCUGUUGAUAUAUCUUCGGACGCGAGUUCGAUACUCGCCACCUCCACCA
rnacentral:tmRNA from 1 species